rnacentral:pre_miRNA from 1 species
GUGUGUGUGUGUGUGUGUGUGUGUGUGUGUGUGUGCGUGCACAUGUGUGCGCCCGUGCACGCGGGCACACG